rnacentral:hammerhead_ribozyme from 1 species
AUUCAUCUGACGAGUCUCAAAUUGAACGAAACGAGCGUCCUAGAU